rnacentral:rRNA from 1 species
GGCUCAGGACGAACGCUGGCGGCGUGCUUAACACAUGCAAGUCGAACGAUGAUCUCCCGCUUGCGGGGGUGAUUAGUGGCGAACGGGUGAGUAAUACGUGAGUAACCUGCCCUUGACUCUGGGAUAAGCCUGGGAAACCGGGUCUAAUACUGGAUACGACUCCUCAUCGCAUGGUGGGGGGUGGAAAGGGUUUGACUGGUUUUGGAUGGGCUCACGGCCUAUCAGCUUGUUGGUGGGGUAAUGGCUCACCAAGGCGACGACGGGUAGCCGGCCUGAGAGGGUGACCGGCCACACUGGGACUGAGACACGGCCCAGACUCCUACGGGAGGCAGCAGUGGGGAAUAUUGCACAAUGGGCGCAAGCCUGAUGCAGCGACGCCGCGUGAGGGAUGACGGCCUUCGGGUUGUAAACCUCUUUCAGCAGGGAAGAAGCCACAAGUGACGGUACCUGCAGAAGAAGCGCCGGCUAACUACGUGCCAGCAGCCGCGGUAAUACGUAGGGCGCAAGCGUUGUCCGGAAUUAUUGGGCGUAAAGAGCUCGUAGGCGGUUUGUCGCGUCUGCUGUGAAAGCCCGGGGCUCAACCCCGGGUCUGCAGUGGGUACGGGCAG